UAUUGUUUCUCUCUCUAAAUUAAGGCGGGGCUCCUGAACCCUAGCUCUAUGAAAUUGGAAUAUCACGCGCAGAGUAGAAUCAACCGAUUCAAAAGUAGCAAGAACGCUUCAGAGAUUGAAGGUUUAUGAAGGAAUCUUACAUUCAAUUGUAGAUUUGCGUUUCGAUUCUGUAACGAUUCCGAAUUUUUGGCGACGAUUGCUUCGCGAUCUUCUUUAAUUUGAUGGAUCGGAGUAUCGAUCAGGAGGUUUGGGAUUUCAUAUGCAGAUUUAUUGCCUUUGUCGCGGUUUGACAUUUGUUUGUUACUUCUUCAGCUAGGCGGUGGCCGGUGGGAUUGAAGCGAUGGAGAUGGAAACGUUUGAAUCUGCUGCUCUUCAUAGAUUGAUGAGGUAAUAUGAUCCUAUCUCUACGUAUUUCAGGGCAGGGAUUCCCACACUUGUUACUUCCAAAGCUCUAAACGAUACAGCUUUUGUAGUUGUGCUGCCAUUUUGCAAAUAUGGGUUUGGUUUGCUUUCCUUUUGAUCGUUUACCAUUUUCUACAUUCAUGGAAAGGUAAGCCCACAGCCACAGCCACACAGCCACAGCCCACAGUGGGAAACCAAUUUCUUUCCCCUCUGCACUAUUACUGCAGCCUUUUUGCUUUGUAUUGCAUUGCAUUGCAAAUCUCUCUCCUCUCUCCUCCCCCUCUCUCUCUCUACAUUAUUCGCAAAUCUUUUGUUUCAUUCCAAAGUGGGCAAAUGGGUGUUCUUCGACUGCAGAAAAAAGUAUGUCUUUGAAUAUUCGCUCUCCCAUUUCUUGCUUUUUAUCUUUUCCCUAAUCCCCCCUCUCUCUCUC